ACAUUGGUGGUUCAGUGGUCAAGUUCUUGCUUUCCAUGCAGGAGACCUGGGUUCAAUCCCCAGCCAAUGAA
rnacentral:tRNA from 1 species